GAAACCGAGUCUUAAUUGGGCGUUAAGUUGCAGGGUAUAGACCCGAAACCCGGUGAUCUAGCCAUGGGCAGGUUGAAGGUUGGGUAACACUAACUGGAGGACCGAACCGACUAAUGUUGAAAAAUUAGCGGAUGACCUGUGGCUGGGGGUGAAAGGCCAAUCAAACCGGGAGAUAGCUGGUUCUCCCCGAAAGCUAUUUAGGUAGCGCCUCGUGAAUUCAUCUCCGGGGGUAGAGCACUGUUUCGGCUAGGGGGCCAUCCCGGCUUACCAACCCGAUGCAAACUGCGAAUACCGGAGAAUGUUAUCACGGGAGACACACGGCGGGUGCUAACGUCCGUCGUGAAGAGGGAAACAACCCAGACCGCCAGCUAAGGUCCCAAAGUCAUGGUUAAGUGGGAAACGAUGUGGGAAGGCCCAGACAGCCAGGAUGUUGGCUUAGAAGCAGCCAUCAUUUAAAGAAAGCGUAAUAGCUCACUGGUCGAGUCGGCCUGCGCGGAAGAUGUAACGGGGCUAAACCAUGCACCGAAGCUGCGGCAGCGACGUUUAUGCGUUGUUGGGUAGGGGAGCGUUCUGUAAGCCUGCGAAGGUGGCCUGUGAGGGUUGCUGGAGGUAUCAGAAGUGCGAAUGCUGACAUAAGUAACGAUAAAGCGGGUGAAAAGCCCGCUCGCCGGAAGACCAAGGGUUCCUGUCCAACGUUAAUCGGGGCAGGGUGAGUCGACCCCUAAGGCGAGGCCGAAAGGCGUAGUCGAUGGGAAACGGGUUAAUAUUCCCGUACUUGGUGUUACUGCGAAGGGGGGACGGAGAAGGCUAUGUUGGCCGGGCGACGGUUGUCCCGGUUUAAGCGUGUAGGUGUGUGUUCCAGGUAAAUCCGGUCCACUUUAACACUGAGGCGUGAUGACGAGGCACUACGGUGCUGAAGCAACAAAUGCCCUGCUUCCAGGAAAAGCCUCUAAGCAUCAGGUAACAUCAAAUCGUACCCCAAACCGACACAGGUGGUCAGGUAGAGAAUACCAAGGCGCUUGAGAGAACUCGGGUGAAGGAACUAGGCAAAAUGGUGCCGUAACUUCGGGAGAAGGCACGCUGACAC
rnacentral:rRNA from 1 species